rnacentral:misc_RNA from 1 species
CGCCGCGUCGAGCGUCGUGCUCAUCUUCCCCUACAACUUCUCUACAACAUGUGCCGCGCCGCCCACCCGUGGCCCUCCUCAAAACAACCAUGCCAAAGAUCUGCAUCCUGCUUCAUGCACGUCAACCCACUGGCAUCUUCCUGUGAAACGUCAAGGAGUGGAUAAUGAGGCAACGUACUCAAAAUCUCAUACUAACAACACAAAGACGAUCAGAAAGUGCAUGGCUAUGGGUUAUUCACAAACCCGCUCUGAACGGUUUCAUCUCUUCGAUGAUUCACUGGAGUUUUUGUUUUUAUUAUGUGAUCCGAUGCUUCAGUUAAGGCCAGUGCCAAGCUUUUCAGUAAGAUUUUACCUCUACAGGUGCGAAGAGCCUCAAGAACUAUUGCUGCUCUAGCCAAAUUCGGGCCAACGGACAGCAUCAUCUUGCGUGUUCAUCGUCUUUGACGGGCGUGCUCUAUCCGUUUCGUUGUUCCAAACCAUUUCCAUCUGCAGAGAGAAGAGCAAUUCUUACUGAAAGUGACAACUCAUUUGCGUGCCGUGACUGAGAUGUGGCAGCUGGCCUUUUGUGGGUUCUUUCAGUUCAUCAACCCAUCGUGCUCUGAUUAGUGUGUAUACAUACCUCGCCAAUUAUCACCGUAUCACCCUCCUUAACUCCCUGUUUCAUAAGAGCCCGGUUCACGCCACAUGCCUCUAGGGCAUGCUGAAACCUUUUCAAGGAAUCCGAGUACCUUCAUCAGGAAGAAGACGUUAGAAGAUGUGAAGUGUAGUGGCACCAACAGUUAGCGCCGUGACAGAACUACUUACUGCCAGUUAGUCAUCUGGACGAAACGCUGGAUUCCAGCUCCGACAACAUUCCAUGUAUUUGUACCCUUAUCAUGGAAAACCUCAAACUCAUUCAUGGGUGCACGUCUUUCCUUUUUUAUUGCCUCAGACACGUGGUUCAGAUUUUCUGUCCCGCUCCAUCCUGCAGAAGUAUGUAGUUUCAAGAUGAAGAGCUCAAAAAACAAAUGAAACACAGUGUAAAA